CCUACGGGUGGCAGCAGUGGGGAAUAUUGCGCAAUGGGCGAAAGCCUGACGCAGCGACGCCGCGUGAGGGAUGAAGGUCUUCGGAUCGUAAACCUCUGUCAGCAGGGAAGAACGGUCACUGUGCUAAUCAGCAGUGAAUUGACGGUACCUGCAAAGGACGCACCGGCUAACUCCGUGCCAGCAGCCGCGGUAAUCAGGAGGAUGCGAGCGUUAAUCGGAAUGACUGGGCGUAAAGCGCUCGUAGGCGGUAUGUCAAGUCAAGGGUGAAAUCCCCGCGCUCAACGUGGGAACUGCCUUUGAAACUGGCAAACUAGAGUGUGGGAGAGGAAGGUGGAAUGCCAGGUGUAGGAGUGAAAUCCGUAGAUAUCUGGAGGAACAUCAGUUGCGAAGGCGACUAUCUGGCACAUAACUGACGCUGAGGAGCGAAAGCGUGGGUAGCAAACAGGAUUAGAUACCAUGGUAGUC
rnacentral:rRNA from 1 species